rnacentral:rRNA from 1 species
GGAAUAUUGGACAAUGGGCGAAAGCCUGAUCCAGCCAUGCCGCGUGUGUGAAGAAGGUCUUCGGAUUGUACAGCACUUUAAGUUGGGAGGAAGGGCAGUAACUUAAUACGUUGCUGUUUUGACGUUACAGACAGAAUAAGCACCGGCCAACUCUGUGCGCGCAGCCGCGGUAAUACAGAGGGUGCAAGCGUUAAUCGGAAUUACUGGGCGUAAAGCGCGCGUAGGUGGUUCGUUAAGUUGGAUGUGAAAGCCCCGGGCUCAACCUGGGAACUGCAUUCAAAACUGUCGAGCUAGAGUACGGUAGAGGGUGGUGGAAUUUCCUGUGUAGCGGUGAAAUGCGUAGAUAUAGGAAGGAACACCAGUGGCGAAGGCGACCACCUGGACUGAUACUGACGCUGAGGUGCGAAAGCGUGGGGAUCAAAC